AUGACUUUUCUGUGGUUUGGAACACAGAAUCACAGCGGCAUGGAAACAGAGGCUCACGGAACCCUGGGGCUGAGUGACAUCAGAGACGGACCCGGCCACGAUAUCAAGAUUCGGUGCCCAGAAGAGGGUGUCAAGCUAGAUUAACCACUCUUACUCUAGGAACAUAGAAUGCACGUGAAGAAAUGGAAUCCAGGUGACAGGAGCAGCAUGAGGGGAUCGGCCACAUAGAUUUCAUCUCAAAGGAAGUGUGUGCUUUAAUGGUCCCUAAGAUCGCUACAAGAAGGCAGUCUCAUCACCAGCCAUUUUAGCACUCAGUGUCAGCUACAGACAGCAUCUGCAUAUGAAGGACAGAGGACAGAGCAUGAGAGCAGUGACAAAGCAGGCGGCAAACAAUCUAAGUCAAAACAGCCUUAAUGACACAUCAUUUCAACUCCAGGGUUCUCAGUGCUGUGAUUACAAGUGCACGUUGCCAUGCACAACAUUUUACGCUCAAAUGUUUGAACACUUGGUCCAUAGUUGGUGGCGCUGUCUGGUGAGAUUUAGGAGGUACAGCCUUGUUGCAGGAAGCAUGUCACUGGAGGUGGACUUUGAGAGUUUAGACACUAUAUGUCAUUUCCAGUUCAGUCUCUAUGAAUUGUGCUUGUGGUUCAAGAUGUGAUGGCUCAGAUUCUUCCUGUUCCUGCUCCAUGCCGCCAUGCUUCCCUCCCCCCAUGAUGGACUCUUACCCCCUGCAACUGUA